rnacentral:lncRNA from 1 species
GGACAGUGAACAUGAACGAGGUUGCAAGUUAGAUGUUAAGUAGAUCCUCUCCCUGUGUUUUCACCUGGGAAUGCUGGGUUGGUAGUAAUCCUCCCCAGAUGUGGAGGACUGAAGAGGGGCUGGCCUUGGGGGGGGUGUGGUUCUGGUCUGCUCAGCGCAUGGACUGUUCCCUGUGUGUCUGUGCGUGCCUGCAAUUGGGGGUGGUGUCCAGGGGCUCAGCAAGGCAUGUACACCUGGGCUGGGGUGUGUCAGACGCUGUCAGUGACAAGCACCUUCCCUCAGAGCCCGGUUCCUGGAGAAUGUGGCGGCAGCAGAAACAGAGAAGCAGGUUGCGCUGGCCCAGGGCCGGGCAGAGACACUUGCCGGGGCCAUGCCCAAUGAGGCGGGUGGACACCCAGAUGCCCGGCAACUCUGGGACUCCCCAGAGACAGCCCCUGCAGCCAGAACACCCCAGAGCCCUGCCCCCUGUGUCCUGCUCCGGGCCCA